rnacentral:rRNA from 1 species
UACGAAGGGGGCUAGCGUUGCUCGGAAUCACUGGGCGUAAAGGGUGCGUAGGCGGGUUUUUAAGUCAGGGGUGAAAUCCUGGAGCUCAACUCCAGAACUGCCUUUGAUACUGAAGAUCUUGAGUCCGGGAGAGGAGACUGGAAUUUACGGUGUAGCGGUGAAAUGCGUAGAUAUCGUAAGGAAGACCAGUGGCGAAGGCGGGUCUCUGGACAGUUCCUGACGCUGAGGCACGAAGGCCCAGGGGGAGCAAAACGGGG